rnacentral:lncRNA from 1 species
UGGCAUUUAUAGAUUAUUUUAAGGACAUUUGACACAAAACAUAGAAAUACAGAUACAUACAUAGGCCCCAGGUAUUUUUCAUGGCACUUAUUUCCCAGGUCCUAUCUCACAGGUCAAAACACUCAGGGUGCCUGGUGCAUCCUUCUCCACAGGUGGGUUGGUGCAGUGUCUGUGAUGGGAACACGGAAGGGUGAACGAACCCGAGAUACUGGCAGACUGGAGGGCAGCAUGGAAGUAGAGUUACCGUGUAAAAGUAAUGGUGGCUUUUAUUUAUUUAUUUAUUUAUACCAUGUGAAAGUAACGAUAGCAUUUAUUUGGCUGCACCAUGGUAUAUGGAAGUUCCAGGGCCAGGGAUCAAACAUGCACCACAGCAGUGACCCGAGCCACCGCAAUGACAACGGUGGAUCCCUAACCUGCUGCGCCACCACCAGGGAACUCACUGAUGACAAUUAUUGACGAGGCAGGCACUUGAAUCCAUUCUCACAGCUCCCAUGAGGCAGGCACUAGUACAAUUAUACCAACAGGGCAGUAAAACUGAAGCUUAGCAAGAUUAAAUAACUUUCACCCAAUUAAUAAUUGGAGGAGCUGGAAUUUGAACCCAGGCAGCCCAGCCUGGGCUGAGCUACUCAGCCAAGGUGAACAGCUUCUGGGAAGCAGGACAGAAAGAAAAAAAGAGAAAAAUAUGUCUGCCCAAUCACUUGUCUUGCACCUGCUACCAUGAGGGAUUAAGGCUCUGGGCCGAGCUGCUCAGCCAAGGUGAACAGCUUCUGGGAAGCAGGACAGAAAGAAAAAAAGAGAAAAAUAUGUCUGCCCAAUCACUUGUCUUGCACCUGCUACCAUGAGGGAUUAAGGCUCUGGGCUGAGCUGCUCAGCCAAGGUGAACAGCUUCUGGGAAGCAGGACAGAAAGAAAAAAAGAGAAAAAUAUGUCCGCCCAAUCAAUUGUCUUGCACCUGCUACCAUGAGGGAUCAAGCCUCUGGGCCCCGAGCUCCUGCUAUAUGAGACAGUAGGUGGACAGAGAAUCACCUGCCCAGUGGCCCUGGUCUUUGUCGAGGAACGAAAGACUGACCUUUGCAGUGAGGGGUGGGGGAGGCCUUGCUGCCAUCAUGGCCCUUAAUCCUGAGGUUAGGGAACUGAGGUGCAGGUUAUGUGGGUUUCUAAGCAUAUCCAUCCCACCCUUUUCAGGGAAGAUGCUGGCAGGUGAGCCCAGGUUCUGCUGGGCCCCCUCCCUCAUCUGGCCUCUGCUGGGAUUAGAGUCCAUUUAGCCACCCAAUAAUCCCCCGGAGCUUGGGUGCCUCCUCCUCCCUGGGGCCUGGUCUCCAGGUCAGAAGCCCCAGGUCCUGCUGGGAAGGACACACAAAGAACCCUGGUGCUCAGGAUACCAGCUUCCUUCAAGAUUUCCCAAGCCACCAUUUGGGUUGAUAAGCUGAUUAAGUUGAUCAGUCACUCAAGGGGCUGAGAUUCUAUAGUAGUGAUUCCCAACACUGGGAUCGGGGGGAAGCACUCACCGCCUCCCCACCCCACCCCCGCCCUGCCCCGAUCCAGAGCAUUUCAAAAUCGCUGGAGACAAGUAUGAUAGUCACAACUGGGAGCAGGGAGAAGGGUGCAACUGGCAUCCACUGGGUUGAGGCCAGGGGUACAAUGCAGGGGACAGUGCUUCCCACCAAGAAGUAUCCAGCGCAAACCGUCAGUGAUACCAAGGUAGGGAACUCCUGUCCUAGAGAGUUCUGGUGAGCACAAGAACCCUUGAGACACUUGUUUUAAAAGCAGUCUUAAAAAUAAUUACAAAAUUUAAAAAAUGAUUAUUAAAAAAAAUAAAAUGCCAAGUCUUGUGUCCUAUCUGACAUUCUAAUCCAGCAGGGUUUGGAGCAGGACCCAGGCAUCUGCAUUUUCAAGCGUUCCAGGCAAUCUGAGGAUAGGUGGGCCACGCUGAGAAAUACCACUGCAGGAUUCCAAAACUCUGGUCCCUAGACCUGUGUGGGCCUGCCUAAGAGCAACCCAGAGUGCUUAUUACAAGUCUGGGAUCCUUGCUCCAUCCCUGGAGCUUCUGUUCUCAUAGAUCUGGCUUUGGUCGCAGCAUUCUCUGGGUUUGUUUGUUCUGGGUGAUUCUCAUGCAAGUUCAUGAUACGGAGUGUGGGCUGAGUUAGCAUAGACUUUGGUCACCUACCCUCACUCUCCUGGUUCCGAGUCAAGCAAAACUCUGGUGGCUGCCAACGGACUUCGUUCCUGGAAACCGCAAGGUUUAUAAACAAAGGUCACGUCCAGCACAGGGACUUGGAAAUUCUGAAAAGCAAUCACAACUGUCCCCACUCAAUUUCUCCCCUGUUCCUCACAUCCCCAAUGUUGUCAAGGAACCAAUUUUUGGUCAGAGCAACCCAAUCUCAUCAACGGCCUGGCUUCAGCAGGGAAGGGUGCCCCUGCGGUCUGCAGUAAUAGCAGCCUCCUCUAAUGUACCUCUUCCUCUCUGUUGAGAAUCUGGGCUGAUGGGCCCCCUUACUAUAGAAUGGAAUGUGCCAGAUGUCGAGGGGGAAACCAUCCAGGAGAGAUACCCGUCACCUUGCUGUUGUUGUUACAGAUCCUUCAGGGACACUUCAUCCAGGCUCUGGUCCCACUUGGAAAGUCAUCCCAGCUCCCCCUAAAGGCCACGAUCUGUCUAAAGGCCUCGGUCUGUCACGUCUGCGCGUUGCCCCCCCCACCCCCACCCCACGCCGCCGGCGGUCUCCAACCCUGGUGCGGCACUGUCCCCUGUCGGCCACCCUGUGUGUGUGCAGCUCCGCUAACCUCACCUGCCCGGUUCCCUGCUAGUUCGUCAGGGCCCAGGACGGUCUCCCAGGCCACUUCCCACUGUCACUAGGGGUGGUGCAGGGUAGACGGCCCUCGGCCACUGCCCUUCUUUAGGGAUCUUUUGCUUCAAUGUAGCAUCUGUGUCAGAGGCUGAGCUACUGAUGUGCCCACCACUUGGCAGGGGAAGAUGAGUGAGGGGGGUGAUCCUUGCUGGAGAGAAAGUACAAAGAACCCUUGGCACAGGGAGUCCAUCCACACCCUACACUUAGAGAUUCAACCUACCUGGCCUGGCCUCUGGCCACCUAAAUCCUCGUCUCUGGGACAACCGGGCCAGGGAGGUCCUGUCUGACAGCUCUAGAUUGUUAGUCCAGCCAAUACCAGACUAUAGGUCUCUGACCCCCUGUGUGGCUGCCCUUUCUUAGAGCACUUACGAUCACGAAUCCUCCCUCUGUCCCUCUGGGACACAGAUGAAUGUAUCUCCUGAAACCUGGCAGGGUCUCUUCUCCAUGAA